rnacentral:rRNA from 1 species
GUCUACAGCCAUGCCACAAUGAAUGCACUCAAUCUUGUCUGAUCUCAGAAGCUAAGCAAGGUAGGGCCUGGCUAGUACCUGAAUGGGAGCUCAGCUGAAAUACUUUACUUUAGAUU